UACGUAGGGGGCAAGCGUUGUCCGGAUUUACUGGCGUAAAGAGCGUGUAGGCGGCCACGCAGGUCCGUUGUGAAACUGGAGGCUACAACCUCCAGCUGUCGACGGAAACCGUAUGGCUAGAGUCCGGAAGAGGAGAGUGGAAUUCCUGGUGUAGCGGUGAAAUGCGCAGAGUAUCAGGAAGAACGACCCUGGCGAAAGGCGGCUCUCGUGGGACGUGACUGACGCUGAGACGCGAAAGCGUGGGGAGCGAACAGG
rnacentral:rRNA from 1 species